rnacentral:rRNA from 1 species
AGAGUUUGAUCAUGGCUCAGAUUGAACGCUGGCGGCAGGCCUAACACAUGCAAGUCGAGCGGUAGCACAGAGAGCUUGCUCUCGGGUGACGAGCGGCGGACGGGUGAGUAAUGUCUGGGAAACUGCCUGAUGGAGGGGGAUAACUACUGGAAACGGUAGCUAAUACCGCAUAAUGUCGCAAGACCAAAGUGGGGGACCUUCGGGCCUCAUGCCAUCAGAUGUGCCCAGAUGGGAUUAGCUAGUAGGUGGGGUAACGGCUCACCUAGGCGACGAUCCCUAGCUGGUCUGAGAGGAUGACCAGCCACACUGGAACUGAGACACGGUCCAGACUCCUACGGGAGGCAGCAGUGGGGAAUAUUGCACAAUGGGCGCAAGCCUGAUGCAGCCAUGCCGCGUGUGUGAAGAAGGCCUUCGGGUUGUAAAGCACUUUCAGCGGGGAGGAAGGCGUUAAGGUUAAUAACCUUGGCGAUUGACGUUACCCGCAGAAGAAGCACCGGCUAACUCCGUGCCAGCAGCCGCGGUAAUACGGAGGGUGCAAGCGUUAAUCGGAAUUACUGGGCGUAAAGCGCACGCAGGCGGUCUGUCAAGUCGGAUGUGAAAUCCCCGGGCUCAACCUGGGAACUGCAUUCGAAACUGGCAGGCUAGAGUCUUGUAGAGGGGGGUAGAAUUCCAGGUGUAGCGGUGAAAUGCGUAGAGAUCUGGAGGAAUACCGGUGGCGAAGGCGGCCCCCUGGACAAAGACUGACGCUCAGGUGCGAAAGCGUGGGGAGCAAACAGGAUUAGAUACCCUGGUAGUCCACGCCGUAAACGAUGUCGAUUUGGAGGUUGUGCCCUUGAGGCGUGGCUUCCGGAGCUAACGCGUUAAAUCGACCGCCUGGGGAGUACGGCCGCAAGGUUAAAACUCAAAUGAAUUGACGGGGGCCCGCACAAGCGGUGGAGCAUGUGGUUUAAUUCGAUGCAACGCGAAGAACCUUACCUGGUCUUGACAUCCACAGAACUUAGCAGAGAUGCUUUGGU